GGGUGGGGCGGGGGCCGCAGCGCCUACAUUAGCCGGACCGCGUCGGAUCCAGACAGCAGUGUGGUCGGAGCCGCCUCCCGCCCCGCGCCGGGCGGGCGCAGCACUUGGAGCGAGCCCCGCGCCCGCCCCCGCGCAGUCCGGCGCUGCGCCGCGGUUCGCACACACGCGUCGGAGGUCCUCCGUCCGCGAGAAGCCCCGGCGCCGCGGGCCCCUGGCUGGCCCCGCUCGCCCUCCUCGUUCCGGGGUCCGUUGGCUUGUCGGAGGCGGAGAGGGGGAGGCGGAGGAGGAGAGGAGGCGGGAGCCGCGGCUGCCGGAUCCGAGAGAAAGUGGCAUGCCCGAGCCCUGGAGGCGGAGGUGGCGGAGGACGGGGGAAGACGAUGCCGCGGCUCCGUAGGAGACGUAGGCGAGAGCGAGCGAGGCGAGCGGGGCGCCCGGGCGCCAGCAGAAGGGGGGGAGGCGCGCGCCGCUCCGAGGCUCCGGCCUCCGACUCGCCCUGCGCCCCGACGCUGCGGGCGACAGGGCUCGGCUCCAGCAGCAGCCGCCGCCGUCGUCGCCGCCGCCGCCGCCACCCGGACAACCCGGCAAAAGUUUGGAUCUGGGGGAGGGAGCGGCGCUGAGCGGGAUUACCACCACCAGGGCUGGAAAGAGACCUCGGGAACCUUCACAGGUGUAGAAUUCUCCAAGUGCAGUGUGGAAGUUUCAUUCUUUACGAACUCACUCAAAAUGAUGAAGAAACUUUUUUGAAAUACCCCCUACUUGAAGAAGGAAAAAAAAAAUCUUUGCUACUAUUUGGAAGAGUUCUAAUAAAAUGAGAAAAUGUGUACA
rnacentral:lncRNA from 1 species